UUUCCUUUUAUUUUUAGAAAUAAUCUAUUCAGUUGUUAAAAUUCCUUAUUCCGGGAUGGGUACGGUGGCUCACACCUAUAACCCCAACACUUUGGGAGGCCAGCGCAGGUGGAGGUUGCAGUGAACCGAGAUCGCACCAUUGCACUCCAGCCUGGGCAACAAGAGAAACUCCAGCUCAAAAAAAAAAAAAAAAAAAAAAAAAGAAAGAAAGAAAAAGAAAACAGGAGGAUUGGGCUAUUUCCACAUCAGGGUCCCAUUUAAUACCCCCUUAAAACAUCAGCUUUCCUUCCAGAGACUGAUCAUUGAGAAAGCAGUACUGCUGACAUAGAUCCUGCCUACUUAUAAAUCAUAAUGGUUG
rnacentral:lncRNA from 10 species